rnacentral:rRNA from 1 species
AUUGAACGCUGGCGGAAUGCUUUACACAUGCAAGUCGAACGGCAGCACGGGGGCAACCCUGGUGGCGAGUGGCGAACGGGUGAGUAAUACAUCGGAACGUGCCCGGUCGUGGGGGAUAACGUAGCGAAAGUUACGCUAAUACCGCAUACGAUCUGAGGAUGAAAGCGGGGGACCUUCGGGCCUCGCGCGAUCGGAGCGGCCGAUGUCAGAUUAGGUAGUUGGUGGGGUAAAGGCCUACCAGGCCGACGAUCUGUAGCUGGUCUGAGAGGACGACCAGCCACACUGGGACUGAGACACGGCCCAGACUCCUACGGGAGGCAGCAGUGGGGAAUUUUGGACAAUGGGCGCAAGCCUGAUCCAGCCAUUCCGCGUGCAGGACGAAGGCCUUCGGGUUGUAAACUGCUUUUGUAUGGAACGAAAAGGCUCUGGCUAAUACCUGGGGCUCAUGACGGUACCGUAAGAAUAAGCACCGGCUAACUACGUG